rnacentral:rRNA from 1 species
UACGUAGGGGGCAAGCGUUGUCCGGAAUCAUUGGGCGUAAAGAGCGUGUAGGCGGCCCGAUAAGUCCGCCGUGAAAGUCCAGGGCUCAACCCUGGAAUGCCGGUGGAAACUGUCGGGCUCGAGUCCGGAAGAGGCGAGUGGAAUUCCUGGUGUAGCGGUGAAAUGCGUAGAUAUCUGGAGGAACACCGGUGGCGAAGGCGGCAUCCUGGACCGGUAUUGACGCUGAGGCGCGAAAGCUAGGGGAGCAAACGGG